UACGGAGGAUCCAAGCGUUAUCCGGAAUCAUUGGGUUUAAAGGGUCCGUAGGCGGUUUAAUAAGUCAGUGGUGAAAGCCCAUCGCUCAACGGUGGAACGGCCAUUGAUACUGUUAAACUUGAAUUAUUAGGAAGUAACUAGAAUAUGUAGUGUAGCAGUGAAAUGCUUAGAGAUUACAUGGAAUACCAAUUGCGAAGGCAGGUUACUACUAAUGGAUUGACGCUGAUGGACGAAAGCGUGGGUAGCGAACAGGAUUAGAAACCCUGGUAGUCC
rnacentral:rRNA from 1 species